AUUGAACGCUGGCGGCAGGCUUAACACAUGCAAGUCGAGCGGAGAUGAGGUGCUUGCACCUUAUCUUAGCGGCGGACGGGUGAGUAAUGCUUAGGAAUCUGCCUAUUAGUGGGGGACAACAUUCCGAAAGGAAUGCUAAUACCGCAUACGUCCUACGGGAGAAAGCAGGGGAUCUUCGGACCUUGCGCUAAUAGAUGAGCCUAAGUCGGAUUAGCUAGUUGGUGGGGUAAAGGCCUACCAAGGCGACGAUCUGUAGCGGGUCUGAGAGGAUGAUCCGCCAGACUGGGACUGAGACACGGCCCAGACUCCUACGGGAGGCAGCAGUGGGGAAUAUUGGACAAUGGGGGGAACCCUGAUCCAGCCAUGCCGCGUGUGUGAAGAAGGCCUUAUGGUUGUAAAGCACUUUAAGCGAGGAGGAGGCUACUGAGACUAAUACUCUUGGAUAGUGGACGUUACUCGCGGAAUAAGCACCGGCUAACUCUGUGCCAGCCGCCGCGGUAACAC
rnacentral:rRNA from 1 species